rnacentral:rRNA from 1 species
ACUCCUACGGGAGGCAGCAGUGGGGAAUAUUGGACAAUGGGGGCAACCCUGAUCCAGCAAUGCCGCGUGUGUGAAGAAGGCCUGAGGGUUGUAAAGCACUUUCAGUAGUGAGGAAAGGUUCUUGUUUAAGAGAUGAGAGCUGUGACGUUAGCUACAAAAGCAGCACCGGCUAACUACGUGCCAGCAGCCGCGGUAAUACGUAGGUGGCAAGCGUUAUCCGGAAUUAUUGGGCGUAAAGCGCAUGUAGGCGGCUUUUUAAGUCUGAUGUGAAAGCCAGUGGCUCAACCACUGAAUUGCAUUGGAUACUGGAAAGCUAGAAUCUUGGAGAGGUAAGUGGAAUUUCAUGUGUAGCGGUGGAAUGCGUAGAUAUAUGAAGGAACACCAAUGGCGAAGGCAGCUUACUGGACAAGUAUUGACGCUGAGAUGCGAAAGUGUGGUAGCAAACAGGAUUAGAUACCCUGGUAGACAUCA